CUUGGGGGGGGGGGCUCAGCCCGGAUUGUGAGAGGGCACAGGCCAGGCUGAGGGACCCCACCGGUGCACG
rnacentral:pre_miRNA from 1 species